CAGGAAGGGACCACAAGGUUCUCCUGGGUCCAAGAAAGAACAUUAAGGUCAGUGGUAUAUCAACCCAUCCCUCUUAAUUUGCCUUGUGUGUGGGGGGGUAGAGUUCUGUAUUACUAGCAGCACCCUUAAAGGAAGGGUACAAAUGAUUGCUCAUUACCCUGCUCUCUUCCUAUCUGCCCUGGGGUUGAGGUACAGUGGGGACUUGCAGGUGUAUAGGAAGAGUGGGUGCCUCUUCCUGAGGCCCUUGACGUUCCCUUGAUGCCAGUAUGCAGGGCUACCUGUGGAAUGGUCCGUGUUUGUGCGUGUAUGUAUAUUUAUGGGCAUGGGUGCAUGCUUGGUGUGUAUUGUACAUGUCUGUAUCCAUGUGUCCCUGUACAAAGAUGAUACUCAUGUGUGGGCGUAGGAGCCUAGGCUUGGCUGUCCUCUUCCUUAGGACCUGGAUCUUAUAGUCUCAUCUCCUAUGGCUCCACGAGAUGCCCGAGACAGGAAGUCCUUGGGGGAACCUUGAAAGCAAGACUAGAAGGGAGUACAGGGUCUGUCUGUCUGUCUGUCUUUCAGUCUGAGAAAUGGAAUCUUCCUAGGUAUAGGGAUAUGCAGCUGAGAGCCCACCACUCCCUCAGC
rnacentral:lncRNA from 1 species